rnacentral:rRNA from 1 species
GGUGGGGGACAACCGUGGGAAACUACGGCUAAUACCGCAUGAUGCCUGAGGGCCAAAGACGAAAGUCGUUUGAGGAGGAGCCUGCGUCUGAUUAGGUAGUUGGUGGGGUAAAGGCCUACCCAAGCCUACGAUCAGUAGCUGGUCUGAGAGGAUGAUCAGCCACAUUGGGACUGAGACACGGCCCAAACUCCUACGGGAGGCAGCAGUGGGGAAUAUUGGACAAUGGGCGCAAGCCUGAUCCAGCAAUGCCGCGUGGGUGAAGAAGGUCUUCGGAUUGUAAAGCCCUUUUGGCGGGGACGAUGAUGACGGUACCCGCAGAAUAAGCUCCGGCUAACUUCGUG